rnacentral:misc_RNA from 1 species
AAGGAGCAAUUCUCCAGCGCAUUCCCAACACAGGUUGGUGAGUGGUUGGCAGAGACAGUUUCGGACCCAUUCGUGGUCCGGCUGGAGCUCAUGGGUGGAACGCUGACAAAUUUCUUCGCAUCAUGGUGUCGGCUCAGUCCGAUAUCGCGGUGAAUAUAUCGACACACUGUUGGGUCCUGAAAGAACACGCGAGUGUCUUUCUGGCAAGAUAACGAUCCUCCCGGAUCUUCGAGAAACCGCCGGCCACUUGGUCGAGUAGGUCUUGGAACAUGAUUUCGGGUUGGGUGUGUUGUUUGAGAACUGCACAGUGGACGCGAGCAUCUUUGUUA